rnacentral:rRNA from 1 species
AUUGAACGCUGGCGGCCGGCCUAACACCUGCAAGUCGAGCGAGCGGCGGACGGGUGAGUAAUGUCUGGGAAACUGCCUGAUGGAGGGGGAUAACUACUGGAAACGGUAGCUAAUACCGCAUACCAUCAGAUGUGCCCAGAUGGGAUUAGCUAGUAGGUGGGGUAAUGGCUCACCUAGGCAACGAUCCGUAGCUGGUCUGAGAGGAUGACCAGCCACACUGGAACUGAGACACGGUCCAGACUCCUACGGGAGGCAGCAGUGGGGAAUAUUGCACAAUGGGCGCAAGCCUGAUGCAGCCAUGCCGCGUGUAUGAAGAAGGCCUUCGGGUUGUAAAGUACUUUCAGCGAGGAGGCGUUACUCGCAGAAGAAGCACCGGCUAACUCCGUGCCAGCAGCCGCGGUAAUUC